rnacentral:rRNA from 1 species
UCGAGAAUCAUUCACAAUGGGGGAAACCCUGAUGGUGCGACGCCGCGUGGGGGAAUGAAGGUCUUCGGAUUGUAAACCCCUGUCAUGUGGGAGCAAAUUAAAAAGAUAGUACCACAAGAGGAAGAGACGGCUAACUCUGUGCCAGCAGCCGCGGUAAUACAGAGGUCUCAAGCGUUGUUCGGAAUCACUGGGCGUAAAGCGUGCGUAGGCGGUUUCGUAAGUCGUGUGUGAAAGGCGGGGGCUCAACCCCCGGACUGCACAUGAUACUGCGAGACUAGAGUAAUGGAGGGGGAACCGGAAUUCUCGGUGUAGCAGUGAAAUGCGUAGAUUUCGAGGGGAACACUCGUGGCGAAGGCGGGUUCCUGGACAUUAACUGACGCUGAGGCACGAAGGCCAGGGGAGCGAAAGGG